ensembl:ncRNA C34B4.11 ncRNA
AACAUUUGAAACCAUGCGGCCACCUCCUCCUUCUCCUCGGAAACACAAACACAAGAAACUAUCAGUGACCGAGUUGCCGAGUGAAAGAUAAUUGACUCUGGAGAGCCGCAGACUGAUUGCCGCUGCACACACUCUGAAUCCCA